GCCCUAGUAGCUUAAUUUAAAGCGCCGGUCUUGUAAUCCGGAGAGCGGAGGUUAAAACCCUCCCUAGUGCC
rnacentral:tRNA from 1 species